UCGAAUGGUACCAAUGUACAUGUAAACUUCAGGAUUCAACACGGGGCUAUUGUUUUUGCCUGCCAGAGUUUCAUUCAUUCUGAGAUUGUCCCAGGGGACUUGGGCUUGCCUAUCCAUCACUCUCCUGGGUUUCUACCACAUUCCAUCCAGCCUGCCUGGCCAAGGAAGCGCGGAGCACCCAAGGAGCACCUCAGAUCGUCAGGCCCCCAGGCUUCGGGCUUUCUCUUAGUUCUGGCAUGUGCACGUAAAUGUCAACAGGUGAGGUGAGAUCUGUUGUAAAUAAGCAGAUGGUCCCUGCAGGGAUGGAAAUUCUAGCAGGCGAUAUCACAGCCAAAGACGUUGCCAAUCUAGACUCAUCAUUCGUUUAGUGCAUCAGAAUUGGGGAACGGAAGAGGAACGUGGACCCAAGGCCAUGCGCUUGUCCUCACACCUGUGAGUCACACCUGCCUCCUGCCAGUGCCAAAGGCACGGCUACCCAUGCAGACUUCUCCAAGGGAGUUAAGUCGCAGCAGAACACACCUAAGGCCUUCAGCUGGUUCCAAGUAACUGGGCUAUGGCCUGGUGAAGGAGCUCGAGUAGAGAUUCUGGGCCACUGGAGCUCGGCACCCUUGGUUUGCGAGACAUACCGCCUGGUGACUCCUACUUGGAGAAAGCCGGGUGUAGGUGGGGUGACAUUAUCAUGCCAACUAUGCUUCCCGGAGCAAAAAGAGCCCUACUAACUAUACCGGAUAAUAGACAUGAUCAGGACUGUCCCUGAAAAGAGGGGCAUAUGGUAAACCUAACUUUAGGCCACACUGCCCCCAGCUCCACAGCAGAUCAGAGUUGAAGUGUCCCAGGACGAAUGCCCUACUUCUGGAGACGGACGGUGGCACAACACUGUGACCCAACGAGGUGAACUUGCUGAGCGCCACAGAGGCUCACUCUUGACAGUGCUUGGGAUGGAGAAUCCCGUGUCAUGUUCAUUUUGCCACAAUUAGAACAAGCAGCAGGCCUCCGGAUAUCCCCUUCAAACCUGCUCCUUCUGCUCUCUCCUCUCCACUGAAGGCAACUCUAUGUUUCCAUUAGCUAAAGGCUAAUGGAAACCUCCUCUCUCUCAGAGCCCGUUUGGCACACCAGCAAGUCUCGGUGGCUUUGCCUUCAGAUUCAUCCACCCAGGACCUCACACGUCUCACACACCUGCCACCCUGGCCCUCGGACAUGGCCUAUUGGAUAGUCAGUGUCACAUGCUGAAUUGCGUCUUCCUGGCCCACCCACAGUCCCUUCUCAGCACGACCCUGCCAGGUAUCAGGGAACACGAGCCCUCCCGGCACAACUCCACUGGCUUCCAUGUCACUCAGGGCAUCCAUCUUCCCUGUGACCCACGGGCCCUUAAUGACCGAACACCCCUUUGUCGGUGGUUUUGCUUUCCAUAGUUUCACGUAUCUGAGGUCCAUCGUGGUCUGAAAGUUUAAAUGGGAAAUUCCAGGAAUAAACUGCAAGUUGUAAGUUGAAUGCCAUUCUGAAUAACAUGAUGAAACAUCAAGUCUUCCCACUCUGUCCAUCCAGGACAAGAAUCUCUCCUCUGUCUAGUGUAUCCACACUGUAUAUGCUACCCACCCAUUACUCAGGGAUCACAUUGAUUGUAGUGUCAUCUCAGGGCUUGUAGCCCAACGCUAAGUCACCGUGCCUAUGCCAUUCACCUUGCCUUAUCACAUAGGCAUUGUAUCAUCUCACACCAUCACGAGAAGAAGGAUCAAUGAAGGCAAAACCAGGAGAUCCCAUAAAUCCUGCUGUACCUGUCCUCGCUGUCAAAUUAGGCCCUGAUAAAGCUUCUCUUGGCUAAUGAUACGGCCAUCACCCAGAAGGGAUGCGGGUAGGAGGGGCUUUCCAAGAGCAUCUGCCCCACCGCGGGGACACUUGUCAUCAGCAUCCCUGAUUCACUGGAGGCUCUGUGGCUCCAGGGAAGGGCGAUUCUUUGAACAUCAUUUUCUCUAAAAACAAAUAAGAAUGACAACUUAAAAAUAAACAAAGAUGUGGAUUUAAAGGCUACUUAGUGUCCCAGGACCAAGAUUAAUGCUGGAGACCUGUCUGCAAGCCAAAGAGAGAGGCCUCAGGAGCAACCAGCCUGCUGAUACCUCCAUCUCAGACUUCCGGCCUCCAGGACUGUCGAAGCAGGUUUUGCAGGGUGGCAGUGCACAAUCCCACUGAAGUUCUUCCCUGGAUGUAGUGACAACAAAAUGUACAAAAAGUCACACAAAGCUAACGGUCCUUGUUCAGGAAACACUGAAGCCAACAAAGCCCGCCACACUUUUUAUCUUGAUUUCCUAGAACGGUGCUCAUUGCCAGGGACAAACUCAACCAUCAAAUCUCAUUGACUCUGAGAAUGUGGCUCCCAUAUACUGCUGCCCAUUCCAAUCCAUCAGACAGGCAGCAGCUGCGCUGCUAACGUGCUCACGGCUCGCCGAGUUAUUAAUCUGUUUCCUAAGUACGAAAGGAUGAUGGUCUCUAUUCUCUGAUGCAGAUGUGGACCUUUGCCAGGUCACAUCUGGCCAGAGGUUGGGUGCACAAUGACUUCAUGAAGAAAUCAAUUCCUGUUCCCUCCAGCUGACCUUAGGGUUGUCUUCCCAGGCUUGCUUCUUUUUGUUGUAAUAUAAAAAUUAAAUUCCGGUCUGUGUGAUUUA